rnacentral:lncRNA from 1 species
GACAGAUUCAGGCUAACCAAAUUAACCUGGGUGAAGAAACAAGGCAUUGGUACAAGGUCAUAUGGCUGAAGUUUGUGAAGGUUUGGAGGUCUCCCAUCAAGCUUGCUUUUGAACCUCCAGCACCUGACACUCGUUUUAUAUCUGUUUGCUGAUGAAUAACAAAUGGGUGAUUUCAGACCUUCUGAAGAAAAAUCUUGCAGGUAUUCUAAAGGAGAAAAUGCCUUGGAUCAUGUUACACAUGACGGGAACCCCAGAGUCCUCCUGUGGACAGAGAAGGAAAGCAUGGAAUACACCUCCUCCUGUUGCUGCUCCUUGAACCUCACCACAGUGGAUGAACUCUGUCAGGGGGCUGGGAGCAUGAAAUCAGGGCAGGGUACCUCUGGCUGUCUCCUUCAGACCAGAGGCUCUACCCUCACCCUGACUUUACUUUCCAGUAUUAACCUACCUGAACCAUUCUGUGCAAUCUUAGAAAUACUCAAGUGAUUACACUGAUUUCAGUUUACUGCUACUUCCCCACUCUCUACUCCUAUCUAUCCAGGGAAUGGAUUAAACAUUGCAUUGCUGUAGAGGACAAGUCUUCAAGCUCUGGACUUAGAGUAUGAGAUACAGACACUAUGAUCUCCCCACCAAGUUCCUGUUUCCCUGGGUUCUGUAUUUAUAGGCAAUGGAAACCUUACCUUGAAACCAGUCUUUGUUUUCCUUGGGUCUCCCCCACAAAACUCAGUGAGAGUAGAGUAGACAUAGAUAGAAGAGUGGCAUUUUCGUUCGUCUUGUCUCCACGUCUUGCAGUGGGCUUGCUAAGGGACACAAUGAGGUGAUUUUUCUCUAGCCGGCCACCAGGCAUGUGUCUCCUGAAUUCUCCUGGCUCAUGGCCUCAUGCAGUCUGAGGGGCUGCACAGCUUUAGUCUGCUUGGCCUUUCUCUCAAGCCAAUGAUGAACAAGCAUGAUAGUCUAAAUUAGCCUCUAGCUUAGACCCUAUACCUGCUGGACCUACAUACUGUGAUUCCCAUGAGGGCAAGGAGGAAAAGAGCAGGGACCCACGGGGAGCAAGAUCCCUGUUGGAGAAGAGAUAGAGUAGCAGAAAGUUUUGCCUCACCUGCAGCAGCAUGAUGUCAUUGGAGAAGGUUUUAGGAGUUUGUUCUGGGUGUGGAUUGGCUCUCUUCACAUGGAUUACCUGCUAGGUCUUUUCUUGCUUCUGGAUGUUGUGGGCCCCCAGAAUGACACUUAUUGAGCUGCACACAGAGGAUCAUGGAUUUAGGUUGUGAGACCACAGAGGACCUAUUCAGAGCAGGCUUACACCUGCUUUGCUUGGCAGUGUUAUUGCUAUGUCUUGUGACCUGUAUCACUUGUUCUGAACACUCACUUUCUGAUUCCAAAACUUAACUCUUUUAUUUUUUUUUCUUUUUUUUUUUUUUUUUUUUUUUGGUCUUUUUCAUUUUCAUUUUUUAUCGGUCCCGGGGAUCGAACUCACGACUGCCUGCUUGCAAGGCAGGCACUUAUGCAGCUAAGCUAAAUCUCCAGCCCCCACCUCUUUUAUUUCUAAGCCUUUCAUUUUCCAAGUCUUCUUUCCUUCUUUAAGGCAAUUGGGAUGGGGCACUUUUUCUUGCUCUCAGGUAAAGCUUUCAGUCUUUUUGAAUUUAUUUUUAUUUUUGAAACAGUAUCUCACUAACUAACUAACUUGCCAAGACUGGGCACAAAUAUUUUUUUACUUAUAUUACUACAUGUUUGCAAUACAAAAGGACUACAUCCACUGUAAGAGAUUAGUACAUGUGCAUAACAAAUUGAGUUUCUUUCUUUUCUCCUCCUCCUCCAUCUCCCUUUUAUUUUUCCACUUUCAGAAUCAUUUAUUUAUCUUAGAAUGCUUGAUAUAGUGAAUUAUCAUUAGUUCAGAUACUGUGCUGAAACUUUUGAUCUUCCUUUCUUUCCUCCUUUCUGAUGAGCUCUUAUGGAUUUGUGAAAGCCAGGUGUUCCUUACUGUAGUUCCUAUAGAAGACAGAAGUCCCCAUUGGUUUUUGGCAAAUGUGGGCUGGUUGUCCCUCCUCAACUUCCCUUUCAGUGUGCAGCUGUCAGUACAAAUUUCUUUCGCACCAGGACACCACCACAUCUCUUCAUCUUCUGUCCAUUCAGAAACUAGACAAAGGCCAUAUAGCGAUGGGAAAGGGGCUUAGCCUCAUAAUCCCUGAUGAUCUCCUCUGAAAGAAAAGCAGAAGAUGGGGUGGCUGGCAGCAGUAUGGUCAAGAGAGAAGACUGGGGAAAGUGAGGGGUGAGGGUGGGAUCCGUGGUGCACUGUACCCUGCAUGGGGUACUCAUUGUAUGUCUGCAGGCUUCAUGCUCUGGAGCCAGACAUUUUCUUUUUUCUUUUUUUUUUUUUUUGUCUUUUUCCUUUUUAUCGGUACCAGGGAUUGAACUCACGACUGCCUGCUUGCAAGGCAGGCGCUUAUGCCGCUGAGCUAAAUCCCCAGCCCCAAGCCAGACAUUUUCUAAAUCUCAAAUGUUCUGAGAAAGUCAGGGUAGUGCUGGUCUUCUACUUCUUACAUUGGACACAUGCUUGAAAGUGGGAUGACUGAUUGUACAGUUUCAGAAGUCACUGGGCAGUUGCCUUCAUUCCUGUUUUCUCACUGAAUGUUACAAGACUCUUUGAACUUCUGUUAAUUUCUGGGUUGGUGGUAUUUUCUAACAGUCUUCCUAUAUGACUAUGAGGUUCGAUUCUCCAAAAUCAUGAUGAUCUAGGCCUAACACAUUCUAUGCUCUCAAGAGUUGUUUUAGGCUGUGUAUCUGAUGCCUACUCAACGUUUCAUCAGUGCUUGAUGUGCAAGUGUAUUGGGGUGGCAUUGAGAUCCAUAAAAUUUUAGGAGGGGGGAGUAGUCCCCAAGGCAGAGUCCACAAGGGAAGCCCGCAAGGCAGAGGUAGAAAAGAUCAUUAGAGUGAAGCUGCAAAGACCUAAGGUGGAGCCAGGGUAAUGGAAAAGUGGAUGUAGUCAUCAUACUGCCUCUGAGUCUAGCUGCACCCUGAGAUUCUCUUAAGGGCAGGGACUGGGGUGGUUGGGCACUGGAUAGUGAAACUGGGUCUGUGACACCCACCCCCCAAAGGCUGUUGGUGUAAGCUGCACUGUUCUGGUUUGGAGUAACACGAUUUAACUGCUUAAUUUUGUUGUUUCACAUUCACUGCUUUAUGUAUUCUUGAUUUUUGUUUUUUAAUGUUUUUCUGAGGACAACUCAUUUUUGGAUAAUGCAGGAAAUUCUGUGGAGAGUCUAACAUGUACUAAAUCAUUUGAGAACACACUCGUUUUGAAACACUGGAAUGUGUCCAGCCAGCUUUGGAUUUGUGAGUCUGGGUAUGGAAUUGGAUCUAUGGUUAGAAAACUCCUGGGUGAGACAAAGGAGAAUGUUCCAGACCAAAGCUUGUGCACAGUGCAAACUUAUGAGGCCUUGGGGCCACAGACAUAAGCCAUGUCAAAUGGUCUGGAUUUUUUCUUAAGAAGAAAAGUUUGGGAAUCAAAAUUCACUGGAUCAUAAUAAAUCAUUGUUUAUUCUGUUGCAAUGAGUAACAUAUUUGCAUAGAUGUUCAUUAUUUAGCAUUUCAUGAUCCCAGAAAAUAGUCUUCCAAAUGCCCACCUCUGAAUGCAAGAGCUUUUGGGUGGGUAUUCUUGAUCCAAGGCCAUUCCAUCAGCAGUAGUUCUCACUUCUUGGCUUAUGAAUACAUACCUCCCAUCUGUAUCUAUUAGCACGAGGUGAGGCUCUGCGUGUCUUUAUGUCCCAAUUUCCCUUUUUUUCAGUGUAUGCCAGUCAACUGGAGCUUAGACCUUGCUUGAAACUCUCUGAGGAUAUGUGUUGAAUGAAUGUUGGCACUCAGGUUUUGCAGUUCAGGAGCCUAGAUCAUUCCACUCCUGAUUCUCAUUGGGAAUUGUUUAGUGUUGUCUGUGAAUCUAUUAACUGUUCCUCUGUUUUAGGGUUGAGGCUGCGCUCUUGCUGGUCUCUGCUGGAGAAAUUACCUAUAGCUUCAUGUAAUUUGUUGAGUCACAAAAGUGAAGAAAUGCCUGUGUUUCUGGAAAUCUCAGUAGUGUUUAUACAUACUUAGUAGUGUUUAUACAUCACACUGAUCUCACUUAGUAGUGUAUAUUUCAGAAUUGCUAAAUGGAAAUUUCAGAUGCUCUGAGUAUAAAGCAUCAGAAUAAUUAAAUUGUUGGCUAUGUUGAUGAGCCUAACUAAAUCAUUCCAAAUUGUAUAUAUAUAUAUCAUAACAU